GUCUCCUCGGAGAUCCUCGAGAUGGCCAAUGGGUGAGGGAUCAGUGGGUGAUCUGCCCUGCACUUCGGGAUAAAGGUGGUCAACUGGGGGAAUUCAAUGAUAGGACCACGGGCUCUCCGUCCGUGGUGGAGGUAGCUUUAGAGGUGUGGGAUGAGCCCGCGGCCUAUCAGCUUGUUGGUGGGGUGACGGCCUACCAAGGCGACGACGGGUAGCCGGCCUGAGAGGGUGUCCGGCCACACUGGGACUGAGAUACGGCCCAGACUCCUACGGGAGGCAGCAGUGGGGAAUAUUGCACAAUGGGCGCAAGCCUGAUGCAGCGACGCCGCGUGGGGGAUGACGGCCUUCGGGUUGUAAACCUCUUUCACCAUCGACGAAGGUCCGGGUUCUCUCGGAUUGACGGUAGGUGGAGAAGAAGCACCGGCCAACUACGUGCCAGCAGCCGCGGUAAUACGUAGGGUGCGAGCGUUGUCCGGAAUUACUGGGCGUAAAGAGCUCGUAGGUGGUUUGUCGCGUUGUUCGUGAAAUCUCACGGCUUAACUGUGAGCGUGCGGGCGAUACGGGCAGACUAGAGUACUGCAGGGGAGACUGGAAUUCCUGGUGUAGCGGUGGAAUGCGCAGAUAUCAGGAGGAACACCGGUGGCGAAGGCGGGUCUCUGGGCAGUAACUGACGCUGAGGAGCGAAAGCGUGGGGAGCGAACAGGAUUAGAUACCCUGGUAGUCCACGCCGUAAACGGUGGGUACUAGGUGUGGGUUUCCUUCCUUGGGAUCCGUGCCGUAGCUAACGCAUUAAGUACCCCGCCUGGGGAGUACGGCCGCAAGGCUAAAACUCAAAAGAAUUGACUGGGGCCCGCACAAGCGGCGGAGCAUGUGGAUUAUUCGAUGCAACGCGAAUACCCUUACCUGGUUUGACAUGCACAUGACCCGUCUAGAAAUAGCGUUCCCUUGUG
rnacentral:rRNA from 1 species